GUCCACGCCCUAAACGAUGCAUAUUUGGUGUGGGCAGUUCAUUCUGUCCGUGCAGGAGCUAACGCGUUAAAUAUGCCGCCUGGGGAGUACAGUCGCAAGGCUGAAACUCAAAGGAAUUGACGGGGGCCCGCACAAGCGGUGGAGCAUGUGGUUCAAUUAGACGCAACGCGAAGAACCUUACCUGGGCUCGAACGGCUGGUCAACGGCGUUGGAAACAGCGCUACCCCGCAAGGGGGUCCAGUCGAGGUGCUGCAUGGCUGUCGU
rnacentral:rRNA from 1 species